GUGUAGUUUUUCUUAAAAGUUUUGUUUGAACGGAUCAGAGUUUUUAUAAUUGCAUACGAUUAUCGACUUAUAUAUGUAUUUACAUAUAUCAAACUCUCUUUAAAUAAACAACAAACAUUGGUCAUCUUGUUAUGGACAUUUAAAAAUAUGCACAUAUUUACACCUUGUUCGGCAAAGGUUUCACAUAGUAUAAGUGUAAAGAUUUAAAGAAGGACAUUGCUGUGCAAUCACUACACCGUUAAAUUCGACGACAAGAGGAAACAACCAAAAACCUGACAAGCGCAGAUCCCAGACAGAAACGUUGCCCACCUGCCGACUUGCCGACUAGCCGACCGGGGAACCGAAAUUUGCUUCCGCAGACGAAGAAAACUAAAAAUGCAGAUCCCCGAAUAAGCGUCGUUAUUAUCGCCAAAAUCACGAAAAUCAUGUCGAGUGGCAAGCCCCCACCCCCUUUCAGCAGCUUUGUUUAUUUUUGGCUAAUUCUCUCUGGCUUGCACACUCUACCUCAGGCAGUGUUCGGCUCUGGCAGAAGGGUGUGGGCUAAAAGGGCGUGUUGGUGUGAGAAGUGAUAUACAUAUGUAUGUAUGUAUGUUGUAUGUAGUUGCAGAUGGCAGAUGGAUAAAAAAAAUGUAAAGUUAGAAAAUAAUCGUAAGGUGACAUAUACACAUAUGUACAUAUACUGACUGAGUAGCGAAUAUACACAGCGUUCCUCCUCUUUUUAUUCCAAAAAUCUCAUUCGAGCGGUUGCUCUUAAGUGAUCUUUAUUUUAAUGUAAUCCCCCUGAAAGGAAGCUAUCCCCUCU